rnacentral:rRNA from 1 species
CCGGCGCACGGGUGAGUAACGCGUAUGCAACUUACCUAUCAGAGGGGGAUAACCCGGCGAAAGUCGGACUAAUACCGCAUGAAGCAGGGAUCCCGCAUGGGAAUAUUUGCUAAAGAUUCAUCGCUGAUAGAUAGGCAUGCGUUCCAUUAGGCAGUUGGCGGGGUAACGGCCCACCAAACCGACGAUGGAUAGGGGUUCUGAGAGGAAGGUCCCCCACAUUGGUACUGAGACGCGGACCAA